CAUUCCCCCACCCAACCCCCUCACCUGGUUAUUGCCCCCUCUACCCAGCAGUUGCAGCGCUGCUCUCACAGCUGCUGCAAUUUGCAGGUUCAUCUAUACGUACAACUUUUUCUGUAUCUAUAUAUAUUUAUGUUAUGUUGUUUAUUUGUAUCUAGGAGAUAUACACUUCGAUAUACUGUAAGCUGUGUAAGGACACUCACAUAAAGUGUGAUUUGAUAUGUAGAAAAAAGCAUUUUACUUUUUAGAGAGAGAAAGUAAAUAAAGAGAUAGAAAGAGAAAGACAGAGUCAUCUUCUUUAUGCAAUGCGGUGAGUGCGCAGUUGAACUAGCAAAAGGGUUUGAAGAUGAUGUGUGGACUUAUUGAUCUAAAUACUGUGGACAACGAUGACGUCGGAGAAGAAACGACGGUGCCGGUGUCACCAGCGUCAUCGUCGACCGCGUCUGGAAGUUCGGAUUUGACGUCGUCAUCUCUGCCGGCAGUGGCAUCGGUGUGUAUGCAGCUGUGGCAUGCGUGUGCUGGACCGUUGAUUUCUCUGCCAAAGAAAGGAAGUGCUGUUGUGUACCUACCUCAAGGUCACUUGGAACAUCUCUCUGAGUACCCGCCCAUAGCCUAUAACCUCCCUCCUCACGUUUUUUGUCGCGUCGUAGACGUGAAGCUACGAGCUGAUGCGGCGAGUGAUGAGGUCUAUGCACAAGUCUCACUGGUUCCAGACAAUCAGCAGAUUGAGCAGAAAUGGAGGGAUGGAGACAUUGAUGCAGAUACUGAAGAGGAGGAAAUAGAAGGUGCUGGAAAAUCAACAACACCACACAUGUUCUGCAAGACUCUCACUGCUUCGGAUACCAGCACUCAUGGCGGUUUUUCUGUCCCUCGCCGGGCUGCAGAAGAUUGCUUUCCUCCAUUGGAUUACAGACAACAGAGGCCCUCACAGGAGCUGGUAGCCAAAGAUCUACAUGGUAUCGAGUGGAAAUUUCGGCAUAUCUAUCGCGGUCAGCCACGAAGGCAUCUGCUCACUACAGGAUGGAGUGCGUUUGUAAACAAGAAGAAGCUUGUUUCUGGUGACGCUGUGCUUUUCUUAAGGACUGCUGAUGGAGAACUUAGGCUAGGAGUGAGACGAGCUGCCCAAGCUAAAACAUGUUCAAAUUAUCUAGCUGCCUAUAGCCAACUGUUGAAUGUCAGUGGUAUUGUAGAUGUGGUUAAUGCCAUAUCUAGCACAAAUGCCUUCAGCAUCUGUUAUAACCCGAGGGCUAGCUCAUCAGGCUUCAUUAUACCUUACCACAAAUUCUCAAAGACUCUUGCACAUCCCUUUUCAGCUGGAAUGAGAUUUAAGAUGCGUGUCGAAACAGAAGAUGCAGCUGAACAAAGGUUCACUGGACUUGUUGUAGGAGUCAGCGAUGUAGAUCCAGUUCGCUGGCCUGGUUCUAAAUGGAGGUGCCUAUUGGUCAGGUGGGAUGAUCUUGAUGUUUCUCGGCAUAAUAGGGUUUCACCGUGGGAAAUUGAGCCAUCUGGUUCAGCUCCUGUAUCCAGCAGCUUGGUGAUGCCUUCUGCGAAGAGGACCAGGGUUGGCUUUCCAAUUACAAAGGCCGAUUUUCCAAUUCCUAGAGAUGGGAUUGCAGUAUCAGACUUUGGGGAAUCUUCUAGGUUCCAGAAGGUCUUGCAAGGUCAAGAAAUUUUGGGGAUUAGUUCUCCUUUUGUCGGUUUUGAUGCUCACAGUCCUCGUACAGCGGGGAUAAGAUGCUUUCCUGGUUUUCCUAGUUCUGGGGCAUCUAGAUUGGGAAACAGCAUCAGAACCCUGCUUGGUGACACUGACAAGUCCCCUGAAAGCAUUGGCUUUAGUGAUUCUUCUCGAUUCAAUAAGGUCUUGCAAGGUCAAGAAACUUUUUCAACCCCUCCUUAUGGGAGAGGUCAUGCUGGUAGCCUAAUGCAGGAAAAAAGUAGAACUGGUAUUAUCGUCGGUAUUCAGGUUCCAAACCACGUGAGCAGGUGGUCUGCUCCAAAUCAGGGUAAUCGCAGUCAUUGCAAUCCAAGUACUCUUGUCCCGGCAUCAUCACCACCUUCUGUGCUCAGCUUUCAGCAUCCCAGGUCUCCAGCGUCAAAGUUCCAGGCUAUGUUCAAUCAUAAACAUGGGAAGCUUGAGACUGCUACCCAGGCUUUUGAUAUGUCUGAGAGCUGUAGUAGGCAUCUUGCAUCUGGCUCACAUGCUGAGGACAUCAGUAGGAAGGGAGACACUCAAGGAAUCAGUUCUUUUAGUUUCUUAAAGGAGCAAAAGCAAACAGGAAUGUCAUAUCUUUCUCUUGGGACUCAGUCGUCUCAAAACUUAGUUUCCAUGUGUAAAACCAGUUGCAGGAUCUUUGGAUUCCCCUUGACUGAGAGUAAAAUAAAUGCAACUAGAGCGGAGAAUCCUGCUGAAGCUGUAUAUUCACAUGGUCUAGAAAAAACAUUUCUGCCUUCCAGUGAUGGAAAGUUGCAGCCAGGGCCACCAUUGGUGACUAAUGUUGUGGGAACAAACUUUACUAAAGUAAAUGACCUCUAUGCCGCAAGAGAUGUGCUUCUUGAUAUUGCUCUGUAGCAAGUAUUUGUUGUGACGUCAUGAGCAUAUGUAAACUGAAGGAUGUGUGAGCAGUAUUAUUGAUUCUUAGAUUUUAGUUGGCUGAUUAGUUUUGCCAACGAACGCAAGCAUGCAGUUGCCAGUAGAAAUGCUUAUCCAGAGAUGAGUAUUGAGAGUUUUUGUUGCAAGGAACACAGUGAAGAUUAGUAUUGUCGAGGGAAGUAUGUGCUUGAAUUUGCAUAAAUGUUCCUGUAAUGUUGAUGUACAAUGUAACAAUCGGAAGGUGUGUUGCUUCAUCAUGAUGUCUGUACGAUACUUGUGCUAUGCUUGAAAUUACCUAGUGAUCUAUAUCUUUUAGGUUUGAGAUAAAUUGUAUUUAUAAAUUCACCUACUUAGUUUCGCUACGAACUAACUCACAUUCCUAUGAAAGACGAAAGCUUGUCGUAGCAGUUCUUGUUUCAGAGCACAUUGUAAUCUUUAAGGAAUUGCGCAUAGUCCUGUAAUUUAACAGGCUGAUUAUGGUUUCCUGUUUGUUAUUUGAUAAUCUUGUAUUCCAGAAUUUCCGUUAUUAUUAGCUUUGGAUUA